rnacentral:rRNA from 1 species
UACGUAGGGUCCGAGCGUUGUCCGGAAUUAUUGGGCGUAAAGAGCUCGUAGGCGGUGUGUCACGUCGUUCGUGAAAACCUGCAGCUUAACUGUGGGCGUGCGGUCGAUACGGGCAUCACUGGAGUUCGGCAGGGGAGACUGGAAUUCCUGGUGUAGCGGUGAAAUGCGCAGAUAUCAGGAGGAACACCUGUGGCGAAAGCGGCUCACUGGACCACAACUGACGCUGAUGCACGAAAGCGUGGGUAGCAAACAGG